GACGAACGCUGGCGGCGGUGCCUAAUACAUGCAAGUAGAACGCUGAGGACUGGGUGCUUGCACUGGUCUAAGGAGUUGCGAACGGGUGAGUAACGCGUAGGUAACCUACCUAUGUACCUGGGAUAACUGCUGGAAACGGUAGCUAAAACCGGAUAUGUGUAUUUCUCGCAUGAGAGAUACAUGAAAGCACCUUAUGGGUGUGGACAUGGAUGGACCUGCGGCGCAUUAGCUAGAUGGUGAGGUAACGGCUCACCAUGGUGAUGAUGCGUAGCCGACCUGAGAGGGCGAACGGCCACAUUGGAACUGAGACACGGUCCAA
rnacentral:rRNA from 1 species